AGAAGGUGCAGCAGCCUGGCUGCAUGGUGACUCAUGGCCCUGUGCCACAUCGCAAAUAAUGCUCUUAUUAAUCUCUCCAGGCUUUGUUCUGGCCCCCCUCCUACUGGUGUCUGAUUUCAUGGUGUGGUGUAGCCAAAGGUCAGAUAAACUACAUGAUGGCCAGAGUUGCUACUGCAGAAGGAAAUCGGAAAUGCCUCUACCAGUGGUUUCAGCAAUGAGAAUGGAGAGAAAAAUAAUUUUUUACUACUAACCUGCCUGACGCGUCAUCUCAUGUUGCUGUUUCAGUAGAGGCAAGCUGUGGUAUAGCAGUAACCCAGGGAAGAAGCCAAGCCCAGCUGUGUUGCAAACGCUUCAGGAUCUGCCUAGCUCAGUACAUUUUCCAGCAAAAAUGUUCGUUCUUUAGGUGUUUGUUCAUUUUCAACAAAUUACAAUCCCAAGCUGAAAGAGAUGCUGAGCUUUGUCUCUAACUGAGCUGGUGUCAUUGACUGAUUCAUUAAUUACCCACUUUUCCCCAGAUUUGAUUCAACAUACCGUUCACAAAGAGAUAACCAGUCACAAAUUAGUCAAGCUGAAGUUUGAUGUGCUUGGCUACAGGGACAUUUUUUUGUUACCAGUUUCAGAUGAGUGAUUACUCAUGUGAAACUAGCAAGCGCUUCUUGCGAGUUGUUUCCUUUCCUCCAUGGCUACCCAAAGUGUUUUUAUUCAAAUGAAACAGAGCCCAUACGCAGUGGGCUGGGGUGCUUUGUGAGCAGCUAGCAUGGCCAGAUCAAACAUGUAUGCUUACUGUAAACGUCGCGUGGUUUUCCUUGCUCUCCUUUGAACCAAGAUGUCUGUGGUUUCUGGUGACUGCUGCCUCCGUGCUAUAGGCUCCAGCUAACACUGACAUAUAGAGGACUUAUCUGGAAAAAGAGAGGGGAGCAGAAGACAGCAUCACUUCCUGCACAUGCAGCCCUGGCCAUUUCUAUCAAAGGUUGAGACCUUGCCAAAACUCCUUCCAUGAGAAGCUUCCUGGGUCAUAUUUUAAUGAUUUGGGGUAAUGACAGAACCUGCCUUUAGCUAGACAGUUGAGGAGAACAGUAAGAUUGUUCUUCUAAAGCCUCAUAAUUUCACGGACAGGCAUUGCAAUUCCAGCCUCAUAUUAUGACCUUCAAAAUCACAUUUGGGCAAGUCUGCAGCAUGUGGGGCUCCAUUUUUGCUGUCAUGAAGAGAUGUGCCAGCCCUGCUCUCCAUCGCUGUGAGAGGGCUUUCCCUUGCAGCAGUACUCCCACCAUCCCUGUAGGCACAGGGCUGCUGUUGGCUGGAUCCAGCAGUCAUAUGUUCCCACCUGGAGCAAAUGGCAGUAAUUGCGUAGAGUACAGAAAAGGAGAGAGACGGAUCCAAGUGGUCUGUGUUAAACCUGGCCUACAUGAUGGUCAGGGCCAGGUGAGGCUGUGCACUGAGCAGAUUUUGGGUUUGUCAAUCUGUUGGCUGCUUCUGAGAGGAACAGCUCCCAGCUCAUCACCCUGUUUUCCAGCUGCCAGCAGCUGCCCUGGGCUGAGGCCCUGUUUCUGCACCUCAGCUCACUUGCUGCAUCACAAACCAUGGCAGGGACUGGGGAGGUGACAGCCAGGGCCAGCCCUCCUGCCUCAGCCCCCAGUGUCCCCUUUGUCACUGCCCGUCCCUGCCCGGUCUCCGAUUAAAACGAUGGCUGGCUGGUGGCAAAUUGUGCAGGAGCCCUGCCCUCUUUGGCUCGCUUAGCCAGGGGGGUUUAUUUUGUGGAGCGUGGUUAUUAUUGCUCUUCUUUUGUUCUUUGUCAUCAGUCCUGCCUUAUUUUUAUGUGCAUUAACUGUUGAUAAAAAUGUGAAGCGUUAAGCUUUGGCAACCAGCUGAGCUCUGCACAAAUCCGAGGACAACACGGCUGCUGGCACAAGGCUGCUCGGUGCCACGGCGGGCGGCCGGACACACGGGGGGCUCGGUUUGGCGGCCGACACGAACGCACGCUUUCCGAUGAGGCAGCAGGGGAGGUGGGAAGGGCAGCCGAGCACACAGCGGCACUGGCCUGGCUCCUCUUCAGCCUGGGCUUCUCACAGCAUUGCCCUUUGAGCUCCUUCCCACUCUCCCCGGCUCCUCAUCAUCCCUCGGGAAGGCGGCGGGAGGAGGGAGGAGCCGAGGGAUGAGAGCUGGCUUUACUCGUAGAUGCUGCUGCUGCAGAGGGAGGCACCACGGCGGGAAUGUAGACGGACAGGCAGAGGUGAUUAAUAGUGAUACAUAUUAUUUUAAUUGAGUCAUGUUUGGCCUCUCGCUUUGUCAGUACUCAAUUUUUUGCAAUUGUUGCAGUGUGAAUUUGGAAUUAAUCUAAAGUAUAAUAAGAAUCCCUCAGCUGGCAAAAGCAGGCAAGACUGAAAAUUAAAAUGCUAUGUAAGUCUCACAAGAUUAGGGCAUAAACUGCAGCAGGCAGUGGAAUGGCUGAAGCUUCAAGAUGCUGGGAAAGCCCCUCUCCACAUUAUUCCUGAUAAUACAAAAUCAAUUUACAUUGAAUGCAUUUUUUCCAAACAACCAUCCACCACAUGCUAUUUGAUAUUACUAAUGAAUGCAGAAAUUGGAUCUUAAUACAUUCCAGGGAAAUAUUAUGCAGAGGUCUUAUUAGUUCUAAAAAUACUUUGUGGCAUCGCAGUACUCAGUCAAUAAAAUUGCCAGGUUUUGUGAUACAGAUACUGUGGAAUUGUAAUUAAAAUGCUGAGGCGCUGGCAGUGGCAGCAUUUUGUUUUGAAACCCCAGAUCCUUUCGAGGGCUUUUGAAGCACCGUUUAUGAGAUGCUGCCACCCUCCUGCUUUCAACUCUGCCAUAGCUGGGAGCACGGCAGCAGGCAGCAGUAAGGCAGGAUAGGAAUAGUGCACAGGGACAAGGAACGUGUCAGCCAGACUCAUGGACAGCACUGAACUCAUACACACAGCUCAGCCUCGGGGCUGCCUUGUCCUUUCCUGAUGCCCCUGAAGAAAAGGCAACAACAAACAAUUAAAUGAGUUUCUCUCAGUUGGGAUGCAGUGAAGGCGCAGGGCUGUGCCGCAGGGUCCCACCAUGGCAGAAUCCGUUCACCUCGUGCUUUGGGUGCUGCAGGGGCGGCAGGUGCUGACUGGGGCUGCUUCUCCCACGAAUUCCAGCAAACUCCACUGAAACGAAGGCAUCUAGCAUGUGGAAGGCAGGAAAUCCCUAAGAACUGGACAGGGAGGUAAGACCUCCAGCCCUGCUGCACACCCUGGGCUCACCAUUCCUGUGAUCACCUGGAUGGCUGCUGAGAUUCCCAGGUGCUGGCAAUGCGGCUGGAUGGCACAGAGCCUCGGGAAAUCAAUGCCGAGCCCUAUGUGUGUAGGGCACCGGCUUCGAUUUGCCUCCGGCUAGGAGGAGGUGGAAGUCCCCGUGCCUUGGCCGUUGCUUGGAGCUCCAUCUGCAGCACUGAUGAGGAAAGUAUCAUUCCUCCUGCACGGAAGCCAUUAAUUCCCAGCUGCAGGAGACUGAUCCGGCAUGGAGCAGAAUCCAAGUCACUGCCCGGCAAGAAAGUGCUGAGGAGAGCGGGCCUGGGGCUCCCGGCAGGCAACAACCCAGCUCUGGCCCAGAGGAAGAUGAAGACCCCCAAAAUGAAGGCUGUCAGUGGCAAAUUGGAAAGAUGAGUUACAACAGCAGCAUUAAUACUUUUUUCACAUCCUUUUCAGCUGUGGUUACAGCUCCCAUUUAUUCUGCUACUGAUUAAUUUGAUCAAACAUUGUGAACAAAUAAUUUGUAUUAAAAAUCCUGCGAGUUCCACCCUUCAUGUAGUUGGCUUCAGGCAGGUAUUUAUUGGAUAGCAUAGUCUCAGACUAGUGAAUGUUGACAUUUAAUUAAUAUGGAAGCUUAGCAUUGUGAAUAUGAAGAACAGAAAAAGGCCCAAGAAAAUCCUGUGAUAAUGAAAGGAGAUGACAACCAGGUUCUGGUAGUCAGAUAUUUCUGUUGACAUUGAAGGGUCAAAUGUAGAUAUCUGGUGAAGGGCUGCAAAUAACACACUGUGGGUCAGGGUUUGCAUGUACAAAUAGUUCUAUAUGAUGCCUGACUUAUACCUGCUCCAGCUGUUUGUGCUUACAUUGGCAGUGCAAUGGUGGAUAUUUUUGUCAUGACUAGACUAGGAAGAUGCUACCAAAUAGGGAGAGUGGCGUAACAUAGCAGUGAAGCACUACAGCUGUUAAUGCCCACCACCAGCUACGGGAUUGCAAUCCACAGACCACAGAGGUUUAAAAAAAAAAGCAAAAUUAGGCUAGUAAAAUUGCAUCUAUGUUAGGGGAUUAGGUACUGUGACCAAAAAAAGCAAAAUCAGGCUAGUAAAACUGCAUUUAUAUUAGGGGAUUAGCCACCAUGACCUACAUGCCUAUGCCAGCAGAACUCUGGAGUAUCUCAGAAGUACUUGUGUCCUGUCUAACUUGUGACGGGUAAUAUCCACACCCACAAAAAGCAAACAAACUGCAAAGAAAUUGAUUGUAAUAAAAAGAGAGCAUUUUAUCAUAGAAAUAUAUGGGAACUGUUUCUCUUGUCAUGCAUAAAUCAGGAGCAUGAGGUUGCCUGAAUUUUCCAUUCCAUUAACUCCUCAGUUUUUGAGUUGAGAUGAAAAUGGUUUUGGAGAAAGGAAACAUUCUGUGCUGUACACUGAGAAUAUCACAAGACAUGUUAAAUUGCCCAGUUACUUUGUUGGGCAUUAACCUACCACUGACUUCUGUUUAUUUUGUGGUUUACCUUACAAAGUAAUUGUGCUCAAAAUCUUGUUUAUUGCAUGUGCAGGAAGGACACUAUUUUAUCCUUACAUUAGUGAGGUUUAUAACUAAACCCCUAUACUUUCAUCUACUUCAUUCUGAAAUCUGACAAAAAAAAAAUAAAAUAGGUGAGAGUCUGUCUUUGUUUCAUGUUUAUAUUCAACAGAGAGGUUUCUACUUAGUGGAAACAGAUAUUCCAUUAAAAGUCCACUGCUGCUGUAUAAUUUAAGUGCUUUUUCAACACCACAAACUACCUCAAGCCAAACAGCUGGUGUUGACUAAGAAUGGUGUUUCAGCCUGUUACAUGCUGUGAUUAUUACUUCCCAAACAAGAGUUUAUACUUCAUUUUCAGUGAAGAUUAAAUUAAUUAGGGGAGCAAUGUGAUACGAGAAUAAGAAAGCAAGUGAAAUUAACAGUUUUCAUCUACUCUGAGGUUUGUUUAAUUAACUAUUUUCAUUUGGAAGUGGUGGUCUGGGACUGUAUUCUAGCAGUAAUACUUCUUUUUGGUCAAAUAGUACACUUUGCAGGUCAUGCAGAAAAACACAAGCUCAUCAGAAAGCUCAUCAGAAAAUACUUCCAUUUUGACUAUGAAUGACAUACUAAAAGAAAAAAAUCCUAUUAACAGAUUUAAAAAUCUACCUUUUCAUAGAAUUUAUUGAAAAUGAGUAGUAUCCUCCCAAUAAGUAGGAAGAAUUGUAAUGUGUGAAGAAAUUGUAUUCUGAUCUUUUGUUAUAUUUGAAGAAAUUACUUUCUUAUGUUGCUGGAAAAUUGUCACACUAGAGAAAGCUACUAAUUCCUCUUCUCUGCAGUUAAAUUCACUAAAAUGUAGUGAACAUUCUCCUAAAUCAUCAAUAUUAUUGUCAUACUCUCUCUUCACAGAUCAGGGAUUAUUCCUCCAUCAUCAGUAAUAAAGUUUAGUGUUUAAAAUCCUAGCUCUGCAUUCAUAAUGCAUUGUUGAUAUAUAUAAAAAAAAUCUUCACUAUUCUUACAGUUGUCUCAGGAUUUCAUAAGUCAUUUAAAAAGAAAUAAAAAUGAAAAACAUUUGAUUUAGAGACCAAUCCCUAAGAAUGUGGUUCUAAAAAAACGCUGGUUGCCCUCACAUGCCCCUAAUGACCACUUAUUGACAGUAACAUAACUUAAGGUUUUAAUUGAUGUUUUAGCCAGGCUCUUGACUUCACAGUAGCAUUUGUAAAGAUUCUAAUUAUCAUGAUACAGUAGAAAUUAGAAGGCAAUUUGUAAAUGUUUAGAUCAGUGUGAUUAAAACAGUAAAACUAGAGCAGCCUCAACGUGUAUACUGCUUUACUUAGAGAAGCAGUGCACACUUUAAAAAAUAUCUAAAAAUAACUGCAGAUUCAGGUCUUAAAACACCAUCAGUCUGACCAGAUUUUCAUUCCCACAGAAAUGUAGUAUGUAGUACAACUUGUAUUCCAUUAAUCCCAUAAAUAUAAUUUGAAUUCCAUCAAUUAUAUAAACAAAAUUAAUCUCUUUUCCUAUUUGAAUUUCAACUGUGAAUGCAUAUUGAGAAAUCUGAAUAUAUUUGUUAUUUUAAAAUAUAUAAGCAAGUAAAUCUUAGUGUACAGUUUCUUUGUACGUUUCUGACAAGCAUGUAGAUAUCUGAGUAUUUUGACUGGACCUCGAGGAAUGUUUCUUUCCAUGAAACACAGCCUUGGAAACCUGAAUUUCCACCAUGCACUUCAGUAAAUUCCAGAUUCCUCUGCUAUGAA